rnacentral:tmRNA from 1 species
GGGGUCGAUUUGGAUUCGACGUCGGUAUCAAAGUUCUUGGUGCAUGUCGUGAGGUCAGCCAAUCACGUAAAUCCAAAGCUGAACUUGUUAUAGUUGCAAACGACGAUAACUAUGAGAGGAUGGCUCUAGCAGCAUAAUCCCUCGCCUAGCGGCAAUUAACGUCCGCUACGGUCUUUACCAAGGUGCCAGUACCGCGGUAACGACCGUCAAUCAGAACUGGAUCGCAGCGGCAUAUGUUUAGGGUGUCGUAGUUAAACUUUACUAAACUCGCAAUUUACGUCCUGCCCAUCGGGCUGUAAUGCGCUAAAUCAAUCGAUGGAUCUAAGCAUGUAGAGCCAUUAAUGGCGAGCUGGCGGACGCGGGUUCAAUUCCCGCCGACUCCACCA